rnacentral:misc_RNA from 1 species
UCCCGGUUAACCCGGGCAGUCUCAUUAGAGUUCCCACCUGAUAUGUUGGCAACUAAUGAUAAGGGUUGCGCUCGUUGCGGGACUUAACCCAACACCUCACGGCACGAGCUGACGACAGCCAUGCAGCACCUGUGCACCGGCCCCGAAGGGAAAUAUCAUUUCUGAUAUCGUCCGGUGCAUGUCAAGCCUGGGUAAGGUUCUUCGCGUUGCAUCGAAUUAAACCACAUGCUCCACUGCUUGUGCGGGUCCCCGUCAAUUCUUUUGAGUUUCAGCCUUGCGACUGUACUUCCCAGGCGGUAUACUUAUCGCGUUAGCUUCGGCACAACCGGGGUUGAGUCCGGUUACACCAAGUAUACAUCGUUUACGGCAAGGACUAC